UCCGGGUGCACAAGGCCCGCCACGGUCGCGGCCCCGGGGGUGCACUAAAGGCUGGGGGUCUUCCCCGGCCAGAGCUGGCGAAUCCUGCACCCCAAGGGAGCAGGCCAUGCGGAUCUAGUCCCGCAGGCCGGGUGAACCCCAUCCCCGGGAACUGCGAAGGCCGAGAGGGUGCUGUUCAGGAGACCUGACCAGAAGAGCCCGAGCGUCCUUAGAUCGGAAGCCCACCCGGCGAUGGAGGCUCGAGGCUCCGCACCGGGGCUUCAGUACGAACCUGCGGUCCGUGCGCCUCCAGGACACAGACUCCUGCCCGGCUCCCAACAGUAACUGUGAGCUGUCCACGCGGGUGUGGCUUCCACUAGGGGCUGACAGCCUUGGUCCAGUCUAGGACUGGGAAGUGGGCCACGGCGGCGAAUCUGGGCUGGCUCAAGUCAGGCUUUGCAAGAUGCGGACGCCCCUGGAGCAUCCCCCGCCCAGGACUCCUGGAGGUGGAGAAUCCAGGAGCCAAGCUCCUGUGAGGCAGUGCCUAUUUAAAACAGUUGACCUCUCAGUCAGUUCUGGGAGCGCAGACCCUACUCCAUGGGGUGUCUUUUUCUGUAGAUACUUCAGGAGCACCCUGGAGAGAACAUAGAGCUGCUCAUUAAAAUAUUUUUUCCACUUAGUAGAGACUCUGGGGGUAGAGAAAGGGAUGCAGCGUGCUCAUCACAGCCCUUAGGGAUUUGCUGAAUGUCAUAAGGGAAAAUCACUUCCUUUCAAUAAAAGGGGAUUAAGUUUUAUGAUUUUCAAUUUUUACUUAUAAGACACCCCCACCCCGCCCCUUCAAGUGGUCCUUUCCUGGUUGGUGGAAAUGUCUUUCUUAAUUUACAGGUAGAAAUUUCGCAGCGUUUUUCUGCUAUGUGAUUCUUGUCGAUACUAGACUAGAAUCUAACACAAAGUGCUAUUGCAUUAAAUGUAUUUAGCCCUUUUUUAGUCCUAAAUGGCAACUAGCCCAAAGGACUAGAUGCUUUCGCACCAGUUCUUGUGACAAUCCUGUCACAGUGGGAAUAAUUGUCCUUCUAAGGGGUGUCCUACUAAUCGCAGGGCUGUCAGGAUAAAAUUUGUUGGUGAGGUAUUGUAGAUCAUCCUGUCACAGUGGGGAUAAUUGUCCUUCUAAGGGGUGUCCUACUAAUCGCAGGGCUGUCAGGAUAAAAUUUGUUGGUGAGGUAUUUAGAUCUGAUUGCUAAAAGCUGACUUAGUAGCCAGUUUGGAUCAGUUUAGAGCUGUAUGUCUGACAUGUCCUUCAGAUAAAGCAUAGGAACCCUCCUUCAAAAUUCUUUUCAGAGCCAAUGCUCGUUGGAUGCCUUUGAUCCCAGAGGCAGGCAGAUCUCUGAGACAAGGCCAGUCUGGUCUACAAAGUGAGUUCCAGGACAGGCUACAUGGAGAGACCCUGUGUCACAAAAAGGAGGAGAAAGAGAAAGAGGAGGAGAAGGAAAAUGAGGAAGGAGGAAGAGGAGGAGGAGGAGGAAGAAAGAAAACGAAGAAGGAG
rnacentral:lncRNA from 1 species